rnacentral:rRNA from 1 species
CAGUAGCCGCGGGAAUACGGAGGGUGCAAGCGUUAAUCGGAAUUACUGGGCGUAAAGCGCACGCAGGCGGUCUGACAAGUCAGAUGUGAAAUCCCCGGGCUUAACCUGGGAACUGCAUUUGAAACUGUCAGGCUGGAGUCUUGUAGAGGGGGGUGGAAUUCCAGGUGUAGCGGUGAAAUGCGUAGAGAUCUGGAGGAAUACCGGUGGCGAAGGCGGCCCCCUGGACAAAGACUGACGCUCAGGUGCGAAAGCGUGGGGAGCAAACAGGAUUAGAGACCCGCGUAGUCCCUGUCUCUUAUAC